rnacentral:tRNA from 1 species
GCCCAGGUGGCGGAACUGGUAGACGCGCACGCUUGAGGGGCGUGUGGGAGCAAUCCCGUGGAAGUUCAAGUCUUCUCCUGGGCACCA